rnacentral:rRNA from 1 species
AUUGAACGCUGGCGGCAGGCCUAACACAUGCAAGUCGAGCGAGCGGCGGACGGGUGAGUAAUACCUAGGAAUCUGCCUGGUAGUGGGGGAUAACGUUCGGAAACGGACGCUAAUACCGCAUACCAUCGGAUGUGCCCAGAUGGGAUUAGCUAGUAGGUGGGGUAAAGGCUCACCUAGGCGACGAUCCCUAGCUGGUCUGAGAGGAUGACCAGCCACACUGGAACUGAGACACGGUCCAGACUCCUAAGGGAGGCAGCAGUGGGGAAUAUUGCACAAUGGGCGCAAGCCUGAUGCAGCCAUGCCGCGUGUAUGAAGAAGGCCUUCGGGUUGUAAAGUACUUUCAGCGGGGAGGCGUUACCCGCAGAAGAAGCACCGGCUAACUCCGUGCCAGCAGCCGCGGUAAUAC